CGCGGGCUUCUGAAGGAGACGGACCUGAAAGGACUUUGCAGUUGGUGCACUCGGGCUGAGGAGAGUAGGAAGCAACCGCCUGGGCUUCUCAGAAGAAAAAAAUUCCUAAGUUACUCGCUGUCCCAGUCCUGUUGAAUGUUUUCCUGGAGACUCCACUGAGACACGCUGUGUGCUGUCCAUCACAUGGACCCCACCUUAAACCAGAUGUGGUACCCACACAGGCUGCUUGUGCCUUGCUACUUGUGACUUUUCAAGUCUGUGCCAACAUGGUAAGUCAGUGCCAGGUCUGAACUCUGCAAUCUUUACAUUGAGUUCCCCAGCUCUUUAUUCUAAGUAUGGUACCCACAUUUGUUAUAGUUUGCCUUCGUUUGCAUUCUUGGUGGAAUCAGGCCAUUCCUUUUCUUCCUUUUUGGCUUUCUUUUGUACUUCUCUUUUGUAUGAUGCUGUCUAAGAGUUGUCAGAAGAAGGAGAAUCAUAGGGUAGCAUAAGGCAUAGGCCGUGUCAGCCUGUGGUUUCAGCCAGCCUCACAGAGUCUGCAGCUCCUACCAGACCAGCAUCCAUUUAGACAACCUUUUUUGUUGGUCACCUAUAAAACUGGAUGAGGUUCUCCUUCCAUCUUGAUUUUUUGUCCUGAGAGUUGGCUUUUGAUCUAAAGAGAGUUUACUCUAAUUUUCUACCUGCCAGGGGGCCCAGGGUCUGUGUUCGGAGGGGCCCUGUGACAGAAAGAGCACAAGCAAUGCUUUCAGUCAACCAUUGCCAGCUCUCCUGGGUCGUCGAAGCCUAGAUUCUCUGCUCCUCCAGGAAAAAUGGCUGCUUUUUAUAUGUAUUCUCAUUAUAGUCCUAAUUCUGGUGCCUAUCUCUCUAAAUGGCAUAACUUCAGCCAUGAGGAUUUGGGCCUUCAGUGGCCACUCUGGGGAACAUUUGACUUGAAUAAAUGUUUUAUUCGAUAGGCACCUUAGAAAAGAAAGGGCAUUAAGAUUUCUCAGGCACAAUGGGCAGCAGUUUUUGAUUGGUAUGCAGAGAUCUCUAAAGCAAAUUCUGGUUCAAAAAUUAUUUCACUAUGAGAUUCUUUAGCCACAGCUAAUAAGCAUUUGACAAACUUAAGCAGCAACAAACUAAACCGGUUUCUUAGUAAAUCCUGCCCACCCACCUUGUCCUCCAGUUCCUGCCCUAUGUCCAGAUGCCCCUCUUCCUCCUUAUCCUUCUGAUCUCUCUCUUUCCUCACCUCCAUCAACUCCUCCCUUCUAUUCCUCUUGUCCAGACCUCCUAACGAUUCCCAAUGACUCUCUUAAGACCACAAAAUGCCAGUUGUCUCUAAAGAUCUAUCCCUCCUAUGAGGCACAUAUGCAGACAACUGUAGAAUUUAAACUUUGGACCCAAGAUGAAUUAAGAGCUAUACUUAAGGAUCUCCCUACUCCCAUACAAGACCAGCAACUAUUCAUAGAAGAAUUUAGAAUACUUUUGGUGCAUAUGAUUCAGGGUUACCUAAUCUACAUAAGCUUGUCCAUAUGCUGGUCAGAACCUCAGAUGCUAAACCUUGGAUGGCAAAGCUGAUUGGACUGACCCAGAAAGGGAUUUACAGGACGUCUCUUUUCACAAUAAACCUAGGGUCAAAAAGAAAAGCAUGAAAAGCAGGGCAAAGUCCCCUAAAAGUAGCAUCCCCAAAAUAUUCCCGAUAAAAAUUGAUGGGACCAUAAUUCAAUCAUACAAACAGAAAAAGAGAUGAAAAUAUAGAAGAUUUUAAUAAUAUACUAGAAAAUACCUUCUGACAACAUUUGGGAGUUAACAAAGGUGUUGGCAUGAAAACAACCCUUUCAUCUCAUUUUGUCAAAGGAGUUAAACAUGAAACUGGAAGCCUUAUUCAAAAGUAGAAAUUGGAAUGGAAAAUAGCCCCUUUGUCUGACUAAAAUACCUGUCAGAACAUUUUGAAAGGACUUUAGAAUAAAAAUGAGACAGAAUCCAAAAUAAACUAUAAUCGUGCAGAUCAAACAGCUAGGUGGCCCGCUUCCCAAGCAACCAUUUUUGACAAGGACGCUGUAGUAUUGUAAACAGAAGGGACACUGGAAAAAAAAGAAUGUUCCAUCAUAUAAAAGAAAAACCAAAGGAAAUCCCUCAAUUCUGAUCAGUGAGGGUGCCCUGAAGAAGGAAAAACGCUCCCAAUAUCCUGACUUACACUUAACCACUCAAGUUGAAUAAAUAUACAUGGUCAACCUCAUCAAUUUUUGGUGGGUAGGAGUGCUACUCUUACUACAUUGAACCCCAUCGUUUUUGCUCAACCUCUUCCUCAGAGUAAGCAUACACACAGGAGAUAGUUCUUUCAAAUAACCCACAGAUUUUUCCUACCUCCCAGCCCUUACUUGUAACCCUUGUACUCUUGAAUGAAAACAUGCCUUCCUGCUCUGUGAUGCCACCUCUGCAAAUUUAAUAGGAAGAGACUUACUUUGCAAAUGGAAUUCUAAUAUUAAAUUCACAACAGAGAGACUGUUUCUUAAAGUUCCAAAGGACUCCUUUAUUCAUAAUCAAGUUAUGUCUGUUCUGAAUAUACCUUUGCCUUCCUCAUUCUGUUUGAUGCAUACCCCAGAUAAAGGUCUUGACAUUGUACCUGACAUUCUAUGACCUUAAAAUCCCACUGACAUAGAAAAACUAAUUGGGUCAGAACCUGGAGAGUAGAUAGAUCUACCAAACUGUUACCCAGACAUCCCCAACCUCCCUUGAAGCCAGAAGCAAAGGAAGGGUUCAAAGCUUUAGUUGAAGGCCUUAUAUCCAAAGGUCUUCUCAUACCCUGUAAUGGCCCUGUAGCAUUCUGUCUUGCCAAUAAAGAAACUGAAUCGAUAAGGGCAUCAAUUUUUUUCAAGACGUCAGCACAAUCAGCAAAAUUUUUGUCCCUCGCUGUCCAAUAGUACCUAAUACCAUCUUGGCAUCAAUUCUACCAGAAGCUGCUUGCUUCACUGUAGUGGACCUUUGCUUUGCCUUUUUUGAUGUUUCUGUAGACCACAUCUAGGACAGUCAAUCCCUUUCCACUUUCACUUGGGGAGGAUAACAAUAUACCUGGACAGCCAUGCCCCAGGGGUUCACUGAAGCCCCCUCCUAUGUUUCUGAGUUCCUCAAAUAAGUCUUAAAAGAUCUAAAUUUCCCUUUUUAUUCCUUUUGAUACAAUCUGUUGAUGAUCUCCUGCUUUAUUCAGAGAACAAGAAAGCUUGUAAAAAGGAUUUCAUUUACUUUCUCUAAGCCUUAGAAGAAAAGAGACUCAAAGUUUCAACAGAUAAAGGGUUUUCCAAAGCACCGUGCAUUAUUUAGGUCAUGGCAUAUCUACGGAGGGGACAAUAUUCUCUCCUGAUAGAAUAAAGACUAUCCAAACCCUAGACUUGUCACAAAAUAACAAUACAACAGGAUUUCUAGGUUUAACUGGAUAUUGCAGACAAGUUUUUCUUAGAUUGCAACAUCUCUUUAUGAGUUGACUAAGUUCUCAGUAAGAGACCUUCUCUUCUGGGAACCCAAAUAUAGAACAGGCCUUCUGUAACCUGAAGAAAGUUCUUCAAUAGCUCCCUUCACUGGGCAUCCCUAACUACAAAAAUCUCUUUUGUUUGUUUGUGCGUAAGUGAUCCGGACAUGCCUUUGGGGUUUUAACUCAACUUCAUGGGAACCGUCAAAAACUUAUUGCUUACCAUAGCCUUACCCUUGACCUGGUUGCAAAGGUUUAUCCCCCUUGUCUUGAAGCAAUAGCUGCUGCUAAAAAAAAAAAAUACUUGUUAAUGCUUCUGCUGAACUAGUUAUAGGCUCCCCACUUGAUUUCACAGUUCCUCAUACAGUAAAGACAACUACUGCUGACUGAGAGCAUGCAGCACUUUUCAGCCAGCUGGUUAACCUCCUAUGACAUUGUUACUGUCUUACUCUUGCAUUACUGUUCAUCACUCUAACUCGCUGAAUCUUGCCACUCUACCGGAAGAAGGUGAACAUCAUGAUUGUCUUCCCUUAGCUAGGGAGCUUUCUGUACCUUGUUUGAAUUGAUUAGAGGAUCCCAUUGAGAACCCUGAUCUUAUAGAAUUUGUUGAUGGCUCAUACUUGAAGGUUAUCAAGCAGGAUAUACUAUCACUAAUUUAAACUCUCCUUUAGAAUGUAGUCCUCUGCCUGAGGUAAAAAUUAGCCCAGAUGGCAGAACUUAUUGCACUUAAUAGAGCUAGUCAACUAAUCAAAGACCAAAGAGUAAGCAUAUAAAAAUAGAAAGUAUGCUUUUGAAGUAGUAGAUGACUGUGAGAACAACUUUGGAAACAAUGCUGAAAUUCCCAUUAAAAAAAAUGGACAAGUUAAGAAACUUUAGAUGGAUACCUACUUCUUAGAGUGGUGGCUGUUAGAAAGAUAGAUGCUUAAGCAAAAAGAGAUAAUAUGGAAGCUAAAGGAAAUGCUUUAGCAGAUCAUUGUGCCAAACAGGCAGCCAUAACCAAUAUUAUGAUCCCACCUACACCUCAAAGCAUCAACCUAUGGAGGUAUUCAAAGAAGCCAUUAUAAAAUAUCAACAUUUAUCCCCUGAUUUGGAAAAGGAAAAAUGGAAAAAUCUGGUUGUACCUUUCACUCAGAUAAUCUCUGGAACUCCCAAGAUGGCUGCUUGGUGGCAUUAGAUGACUUAAAAUGGAAAUUAGGUAAAUUUCUCCACGAACUACUCAUCACCCUACAGACAAGAUUAAUUGGGAAACUUAAAUCAAGAUUGAUUGGGAAACUUUAAAAAGAUAGCUGAGGUUAGUUUCAGGUCAUGUGUCACCUGUCAACAACAUAAUCCUAGAAAAAAUAUAAAGGUGACACCUGGCCCGGAACCAAGGCCCCAGUAGCCUUUUGCACACCUUCAGAUGGAUUUUUUAAAAUAUUUUUUAGUUAUUGUAUGUCUAUUUUCAGGAUGAGCUGCAGCAUUUCCUUGCCAAAAAGCUGAGACCUUUACAGUUGCUAAAAAGCAACUUGAUUUUGUAUUUCUAACCUGGGACAUACCAACUUUUAUAUCAAGUGACUGAAGCACACACUCUAUGGUAAUCACUAUAAAAGAACUCUGUAAGGCAUUACCCCUUCCUCAGAAACUACAUUGCCCUUACCACCCACCAUCUUCUGGAAAGGUUGAAAGAACCAAUGGCAUCCUUAAAUUUAAAUUAACAAAACUUUCAGAAAUUCUUGCCAUUCCUCAGCCAAAGGUAGCCUCCUUCCCACUAGCCUUUAUGGCUGUGUGGUCCAUUCUCCUGGGGACAUAUCAGUUGUCCCAGUAUGAAUUGGCCAGUGGAAGGUCCAUACAUUUAGGGAUUUUACCUCCAAUAAUAGACUGUCCUACUUCAUACAAACAUGACAAAAUAUUGCAAGGACUCAUGUACUAUACCCAGUCCCAUCACAACGAUCAUUAUGCCAUUGUUCCCACAACAUCUUCCUUAACACCUCUUUGUGAUCUUUGGCAAGGAGAUUUCAUCUAUUGGAAGAGGUAUGAGAGACAAACUGUUCUUGAACCUAAUUGGAAGGGACCUUAUUAAGUACUGUUAACAACAAAUAUGACAGCACAGAGAGCCAAUUAUUGGGUUCAAGUUUCACAACUAAAGAAGUAAUUCAGAAUUCCAUACAAUUGGGAGACUGCUCCAAUAAGGUACCUCAUACUGAAGAUUCUCAAAGAUCUUCUAGAAGCAGCCAGUCUUUGGAAGUUGACAGCAGAUCCAAGACCUUCAGAACAAGUGGAUGACCGCAAGUAGUGGACAGCUUCCUGCCAAGACACUGGACCAAGAUCCCUGCCUUAUUCCUGUUCCAUUUUUUAUCUGUUUGUUUAUACUCAUUCUUCUCAUUUUAUUUAAGCCCCUGGCUUUUGUCCAUUCAGAAUGGCCACUUUUUCUUUUAUUGUCUACUUAGUUUAAUUGUUAGGUCAGAACAUACUUACCUAAUGCCAUUCUUAGAUUAUCCCAAACAGUAGCCACUUCCCUCAGUCUUACUGACUGCUGGAUAUACCAUCCAUCACCAGACCCCCAUGAUAAAUAUCUCUGGGCAAUUCCAAUCUGAUUAAACAAGACCGUAGGGAAUUGUAGCCAGUCAUGUUCCUCUUGCAAUUACAUGGACAAAUGACCUUAAACAAAUCAACCUGUGGCUUUGCUAGUGUCCCUCUCUCCCUGAAAAAUAAUCGGUUACUAUAAUCUAUUGAUUAGACCCUGGGUAUUUCUAAAUUUAAAUUCAACAAUAUUUGUAGAGUGAUGGGCCAGAUACUUGCCAGUUGGAAGAAGCUAAUUGAAAUCCAGAAAUGUAUCCCAGCUAUGUAAGGCCUUGGUUCCAACCUUAUAUCAUGAGCAACUCAUUUUUUCCUUUGUCUUCAUGUGCUCCUCCCAGAUACCACUUCCUUUGCAGCCAGGAUACCUGGUCUUGUUUGCCUCUGAUUAACACCUCAUGCACUUUAGGAAUAGUAUCCCAUGUACUUGUCUGUACACAGAGAUCUUGAUUCUAUAAAUCACCAAGGCUAGAAAUCCUAACUCAUACAUGAGUUCUUCGAAAACAAGGCCACUCUUGCUUAUUCAGGCACUCUACCUGAGGGAAUUACUGAUCCAUUGUUUAUGCAGUAUUCCCAAUGGUGAGAAUUAUACAAAUAGAAAAGACUGUAAGAAACUUAUUACUGACUCAAGCAGGAGUUAACAAUGUUAUCACUUCUGCUCUAGAUGGAGUAUAAAUCAGUUGCAAUUCAUUGGCAUGAGCCAAUGGACAAUUGCAUUUUUCCAGAUUCUUGUUGGCCAGUCAUGGUGGCAUCUGUGUCAUUGCUAAAAUUUCUUGCUGUACUUGGAUCAAUGAAAAAUCCAAGGUAGAAGAGACUAUACAUCUCUUUAAGGAAAAAACUACUUGGCUGUCUUAAGUUGAUCCUCAUGGCCUGUGGGAUUUGCUCUUUUGGCCUGAGUUGGGCUAUUGGGUUCCUGGUUCUGAAGCAUAUUAAAGGAACUAUUACUUGUUCUUGAUUUUGUCAUAAUGGUGCUGAUGCUGGUCUUUGCAUUGUGUGGAGAGUUUUAAGUUCUGUGUAGCUACUCUCUUGUUAUAUCAUCACCAUAAUAGUAAAACAACAAAAAUAUUAAGAAGCUCUCACAAUAAGAUUGACGAUGGGGGCAACUGAACAAUCCCCAGGAGGUGAAGAUGUGGAUCUCUAGCCUUCCCUAAAUUGGCCAACCUCUUGCAAGUAAGAGAAUGACCAAAAGGAUGACCAAAAGGGGCGUCUGAGGGACUGAAUAUACAAAGGAACACUAGCCAGACCAUGUAUGGCAGUAGAACUCUGACCUAAAACCUCUGCAGCAACCAGCCCAGCAAGCCAGACCAUAAUCUCUGCAGCAACCAGCCCAGAAUAGUCAGGGCAUAGUCAAUGACUAUCGGCAUCCUUUUAUUUUGCCUCCAUUUCCAACUCAGGACCAACCAGAGAAAGCCAAAUAUGAUCCUCAAACCAAUCAAAUAAGAUAACCCCUUUUCUAGUUAACCCACAUGCAGCUACCCCAUAGCAACAGCCUGCAAUCAGGGCAUACCUGAUGCCUUCCCUUUUUUCCAUUAUAAAGCUUUCCCACUCCACUGCCUGCCUUUGAGUCUCUGCCAAAUACAAGUGAUGGUGACUGACUGUCUUGCUGUAGCAAGUUGUGAAUAAACAGCUUCUAUUA